rnacentral:lncRNA from 1 species
UCUGUUUUGCGAGUCUUGCUUGAUCAUUAUUGUUAAUGAUUGAUAAAUCAGAAAUAGUAUAAUAGAGGAUUCAACGGUUGUGUGAAAUGAUUGAUGUUAAAGACUGUUAUAUAUAUGUACAUAAAGUUAUAUAGUAGGGACUAUGCGAUGAGUGCGGGGGUUCAGAGAUGUCUGAGCUAACGACGCAGAUGUUUGGUGUUAGUGCGGGGGUACAGUGAGGUACCAGCGACGCAGAUGGUGUUUGUGCGGGGGUACAAAGACGUUUGUACUAUCGACGCAGCGGGUGGUUGUACGGGGGUACAGAGACAGAUUGUACUAGCG